GAUCCUGGCUCAGGAUGAACGCUAGCUACAGGCUUAACACAUGCAAGUCGAGGGGCAGCAGGGAUUUAGCUUGCUAAAUCCGCUGGCGACCGGCGCACGGGUGCGUAACGCGUAUCCAACUUUCCCGUUACUCAGGGAUAGCCUUCCGAAAGGGAGAUUAAUACCUGAUGGUGUUUGAAAUUCGCAUGUUCUUCAAACUAAAGAUUUAUCGGUAACGGAUAGGGAUGCGUGACAUUAGAUAGUAGGCGGGGUAACGGCCCACCAUGGCGACGAUGUCUAGGGGUUCUGAGAGGAAGGUCCCCCACACUGGAACUGAGACACGGUCCAGACUCCUACGGGAGGCAGCAGUGAGGAAUAUUGGUCAAUGGUCUGACGACUGAACCAGCCAUGCCGCGUGAAGGUGACGGCCCUAUGGGUCUUAAACUUCUUUUGCAAGGGAGCAAUAAGGCGUACGUGUACGUCGAUGAGAGUACCUUGCGAAUAAGCAUCGGCUAACUCCGUG
rnacentral:rRNA from 1 species